rnacentral:rRNA from 1 species
AUUGAACGCUGGCGGCAUGCCUUACACAUGCAAGUCGAACGGCAGCACGGGAGCAAUCCUGGUGGCGAGUGGCGAACGGGUGAGUAAAGUAUCGGAACGUGCCCAGUCGUGGGGGAUAACGUAGCGAAAGUUACGCUAAUACCGCAUACGAUCUACGGAUGAAAGCGGGGGAUCGCAAGACCUCGCGCGAUUGGAGCGGCUGAUAUCAGAUUAGGUAGUUGGUGGGGUAAAGGCUCACCAAGCCGACGAUCUGUAGCUGGUCUGAGAGGACGACCAGCCAAACUGGGACUGAGACACGGCCCAGACUCCUACGGGAGGCAGCAGUGGGGAAUUUUGGACAAUGGGCGCAAGCCUGAUCCAGCCAUGCCGCGUGCAGGAUGAAGGCCUUCGGGUUGUAAACUGCUUUUGUACGGAACGAAAAGGUUUGGCCUAAUAAGCUGGACCCAUGACGGUACCGUAAGAAUAAGCACCGGCUAACUACGUGCCAGCAGCCGCAGUAA